rnacentral:rRNA from 1 species
GAUGAACGCUGGCGGCGUGCUUAACACAUGCAAGUCGAACGAUGAAGCUGGAGCUUGCUCCGGUGGAUUAGUGGCGAACGGGUGAGUAACACGUGAGUAAUCUGCCCUUGACUCUGGGAUAACUGCGGGAAACUGUAGCUAAUACCGGAUACGACACCUUCGGGCAUCCGAUGGGUGUGGAAAGAAUUUCGGUCAAGGAUGAACUCGCGGCCUAUCAGCUAGUUGGUGAGGUAAUGGCUCACCAAGGCGACGACGGGUAGCCGGCCUGAGAGGGUGACCGGCCACACUGGGACUGAGACACGGCCCAGACUCCUACGGGAGGCAGCAGUGGGGAAUAUUGCACAAUGGGCGAAAGCCUGAUGCAGCAACGCCGCGUGAGGGAUGAAGGCCUUCGGGUUGUAAACCUCUUUUAGUUGGGAAGAAGCGAAAGUGACGGUACCAACAGAAAAAGCACCGGCUAACUACGUGCCAGCCGCCGCUGUAA